AAUGAACGCUGGCGGCAUGCCUAACACAUGCAAGUCGAACGAGAUUUUCGGAUCUAGUGGCGCACGGGUGAGUAACGCGUGGGAACCUACCUUUAGUUCGGACAACGUUUGGAAACGAACGCUAAUACCGUAUACGCCCUCCGGGGAAAGGUCAGCCGCUGAAAGAGGGCCCGCGUCUGAUUAGCUUGUUGGUAAGGUAAUGGCUUACCAAGGCUACGAUCAGUAGCUGGUCUGAGAGGAUGAUCAGCCACACUGGGACUGAGACACGGCCCAG
rnacentral:rRNA from 1 species